CACUGGUUAGCACAGUUGGUAGAGCGCUCCACUUGUAAUGGAGAGGUCCCGGGUUCGAUACCCGGACCAGGCG
rnacentral:tRNA from 1 species